rnacentral:rRNA from 1 species
ACGGGUGAGUAAUGUCUGGGAAACUGCCUGAUGGAGGGGGAUAACUACUGGAAACGGUAGCUAAUACCGCAUGACCUCGCAAGAGCAGAGUGGGGGACCUUCGGGCCUCACGCCAUCGGAUGUGCCCAGAUGGGAUUAGCUAGUAGGUGAGGUAAUGGCUCACCUAGGCGACGAUCCCUAGCUGGUCUGAGAGGAUGACCAGCCACACUGGAACUGAGACACGGUCCAGACUCCUACGGGAGGCAGCAGUGGGGAAUAUUGCACAAUGGGCGCAAGCCUGAUGCAGCCAUGCCGCGUGUGUGAAGAAGGCCUUAGGGUUGUAAAGCACUUUCAGCGAGGAGGAAGGGUUCAGUGUUAAUAGCACUGUGCAUUGACGUUACUCGCAGAAGAAGCACCGGCUAACUCCGUGCCAGCAGCCGCGGUAAUACGGAGGGUGCAAGCGUUAAUCGGAAUUACUGGGCGUAAAGCGCACGCAGGCGGUUUGUUAAGUCAGAUGUGAAAUCCCCGAGCUUAACUUGGGAACUGCAUUUGAAACUGGCAAGCUAGAGUCUUGUAGAGGGGGGUAGAAUUCCAGGUGUAGCG